rnacentral:tmRNA from 1 species
GGGGACGAGUGGUUUCGACAGGGGAAAUGGGCGACUCAGGAUUGCAGGCCGAGGUGCCAUCCUCCCUCGUAAAACCGGUGGCAACAAGAUAACUGGCAACAGUAUGAUGGUAGCGGCCUAACCAUUAGGCCACGUUCAACCUUGCCUCUCCUCGAUGGGCAAGGAUUGGGCGACGAAAGAUCGGGGUGCAGCGAUCCUGAUGACGAUAGGGGUUGCCUAAACUUAAUCGUCUGGCCUGCUCGAUACUCCACCAGCCGAGGACGAUCGGGCGAGAUAAAAAGCUGGCUAAGCUUGUAGCACAUCCCGGGCGGAUUUCUUCUGGACGGGGAGUUCGACUCUCCCCCGUCUCCACCA